GACGAACGCUGGCGGCGUGCUUAACACAUGCAAGUCGAACGAAGUGGCGAACGGGUGAGUAACGCGUAAUCAACCUGCCCUUCAGGGGGGGACACCAGUUGGCACCGACUGCUACUACCGCAUACUGAAGGAGGGGAUUGCGUCUGAUUAGCUAGUGGGAGGGGUAACGGCCCACCAAGGCGAUGAUCAGUAGGCGGGCUGAGAGGAGGAACGGCCACAAUGGGAAGUGGACACGGCCCAGACGUCGUCGGGAGGCAGCAGGGGGGAAUCUUCCGCAAUGGACGAAAGUCGGACGGAGCAACGCCGCGGGAGUGAGGACGGCCUUCGGGUUGUAAAGCUCUGUUAAUCGGGACGCGGUACCGGAAGAGAAAGCCACGGCUAACUCCGUGCCAGCCGCCGCGGUAAUUC
rnacentral:rRNA from 1 species